rnacentral:rRNA from 1 species
UGAACGCUGGCGGCGUGCCUAAUACAUGCAAGUCGAGCGAACAGAUAAGGAGCUUGCUCCUUUGACGUUAGCGGCGGACGGGUGAGUAACACGUGGGUAACCUACCUAUAAGACUGGAAUAACUCCGGGAAACCGGGGCUAAUGCCGGAUAAUAUUUAGAACCGCAUGGUUCUAAAGUGAAAGAUGGUUUUGCUAUCACUUAUAGAUGGACCCGCGCCGUAUUAGCUAGUUGGUGGGGUAAUGGCUUACCAAGGCAACGAUACGUAGCCGACCUGAGAGGGUGAUCGGCCACACCGGAACUGAGACACGGUCCAGACUCCUACGGGAGGCAGCAGUAGGGAAUCUUCCGCAAUGGGCGAAAGCCUGACGGAGCAACGCCGCGUGAGUGAUGAAGGUCUUCGGAUCGUAAAACUCUGUUAUUAGGGAAGAACAAAUGUGUAAGUAACUGUGCACGUCUUGACGGUACCUAAUCAGAAAGCCACGGCUAACUACGUGCCAGCAGCCGCG